GUUAACCACACCUUCUUCUAGCUCUUGUCAGAGACGUUGAAAAGGCAGAAUGGAGUUUGGAGGAAGUAAAUGAAGAUGAUUGUGAAUAUUUAAGUUUAAUGCCUUCCUUUACAAAAGCUGUGGAGAAGAAGUAGCAGACAACUAAACAAAGAAAUCCACAGAUAUUGCACAGUUACUUUAAUAACGUUUACAAAUUAAGAAAGUUCUGGAAGCCUGAUUUUACAAAUUAUUUAAGAAAGAGUUUUGGGAGCCUGCUUUAUGUAGAGCUCUAUGGCACCUUAUACUAGCAUACAAGGAGAUCUGGUUAUAUCUUCCAGUGCUUGAGGAAAUACCUAGAAUGAAUAAGCAGCUGGCAGAUUCUUCAAAAGAAGUACAGCUUUGUGGCACAUGUCAGAGAUGAGCAGCCCUUCAUUCAAGUCUGUGGAAAUCCUGACAAAGAAAGCAAAUGAGAGAUGAGACUGCCAUCAGCUGUUAUGUAUAUCUUCAUGUACAAGAUAUCGUCAGAAAAAAAAUGGAAGAAAUGAAAUGCAUUAGGAUAUAUUUAAAAAUUAAUCCAGAGAUUGCAUAAGGAGAAAAAAAAAUGAGUGGUGAUCUAAAGAACAAAGUAUGACAUAUCGUUUUACUGCCUGAUCUUCAUAAUAUAAUAAACACAUUGUCAACAUGGUUUUCAAUAUGCAGAAACAAAUGUACUUUGCGCAUUUAAUGCACUUAUUUGCUGUUGUAGGUUUCUAUUAUCAUCCCACAUAUUCAGGUUGAUACUAAAACUCUGAUAAUUUCUAAUUGAUGAUGUAUAUAGUAAAUACUACUAUGGUACUGGAUUGAAUGCAACAUCUAUUAAAAAGGAAAAAAAAACAAUAAGUGGUUCAGUGGCCUUUAAGCCACUAGUCUAGUAAUCUCCUAUGAACCUAUGAGUAGGCUUGUGCUAUGAUAAGGAUGAUAAAGUGAAAAACUGAAAUGACCUUAGUGGCUAAGUCUGUUGAACUUUUGAAGAAAGUGAUGAGAUAACAGACAA